CCUACGGGAGGCAGCAGUGAGGAAUAUUGGGCAAUGGAGGCAACUCUGACCCAGCCAUGCCGCGUGCAGGAAGAAUGCCCUAUGGGUUGUAAACUGCUUUUAUUUGGGAAUAAACCUUUCUACGUGUAGAAAGCUGAAGGUACCAAACGAAUAAGGACCGGCUAACUCCGUGCCAGCAGCCGCGGUAAUACGGAGGGUCCGAGCGUUAUCCGGAAUCAUUGGGUUUAAAGGGUCCGCAGGCGGUCGAUUAAGUCAGAGGUGAAAUCCCAUAGCUCAACUAUGGAACUGCCUUUGAUACUGGUUGACUUGAGUCAUAUGGAAGUAGAUAGAAUGUGUAGUGUAGCGGUGAAAUGCAUAGAUAUUACACANAAUACCGAUUGCGAAGGCAGUCUACUACGUAUGUACUGACGCUUGAGGGACGAAAGCGUGGGGAGCGAACAGGAUUAGAUACCCCUGUUAGUCCACGCCGUAAACGAUGGAUACUAAGUUGUUGGGGCAUUUAGCUCCAGUGACUAAGCGNAAAGUGAUAAGUAUCCCACCNUGGGGGAAGUACGGGUCGCAAGAACUGAAACUCAAAGGAAUUGACGG
rnacentral:rRNA from 1 species